CUUUCUGCUUGUUCUAUUAAUUAUAGAGAAGUGGCGUUGUCAUACACCAAAGAAUGGCCCCCAAACAUGUUCACACCCUAUGUCUGAAAUUUGAGAAUAUAUUUACAUGGCAAAAGUGGCCUUGCAGCCAGGUGUGGUGGCACACACCUAUAAUCCCUGCACUCAAGAGGCUGAGGCAGGAGGAUUGCUUCGAGUUCAAGGCUAGCCUGGGCUACCUUGUCUCAAAAAACCCAAAGUGACCUUGUCAAUGUGAUUAAGGUUGCAGACCUUGAGACAGGGAGAUCAUCCUGGAUUAUUCAGAUGGAUGAGUCCUUAAAAGAGAAGAAUCUUUCCCAGGUGUGGUCAGAGAAAAAGGAGAGAGGUGGAACACCUUGGGCUUUGAUGAUGGGGGCAUGAAAGAGCCAAGGCGCAGGAAGGAAGAAGAGCCCCCCCAGAACUUCCAGAACAGAAAACAGCUUAGGACACUAAUUUUUGCCCAGAUCUGUACCAGACUUCUGAUACAAAGAACUACAAGAUACUGCUGAGAUUCAUCGGUAGAGCUGAGUGCUUAUGAUUUUCAGAUCAUGCUCAGUGAUUCCACAAAGCAGUAAGUGAAGAGAAGAGCAUGAAGUACUGAACUCCUGAGCCCUGCUCCUUCCCACAAAUGCUGCUUGUGUUCACCUCCUCCUUCAUCUGCAAAAUUGGCCGAUACUGUCCUUUAGAGGAAAUCAUUCCCAGGUUAGGAUCUGAUUCUGAAUAAUGCCUUGCAUUUAUUGGGCUGCUUAGUCUGUUUAGUUUGGGGCGGUCCUUGCCUUUGUUUGCAUGAUACUGACGUUUGUGAGGAGACCGUUGUGCUAUUGGCAGUUCCUCACUUAGGGUCUGAUAGUUUCCUCAUGACUCAGGAAAUGUAUUUAUUGGCAAGAACACUGAAUACAUGAUAUGUCCCCAGGUGUCAGAUCAGGAGGUAAAUAAUGUCAGUUUGUCCUAUUAUUGCUAAUGUUGGCUCUGAUCUCUUGGCUAAGGUAGUAUCUACCAGAUUUUUCCACUCACAAGGUAUCUUUUUCCCUUUAUGACUUGUGGAGUCUUCUAUCAAUGUUGUUUGAUAAUUGUUUCUUUUGAUAUGUGUAAUACACACCUUACCAGUAGAAGGCAAAUUCCUUCAUUGUUUUUGCCUGUCAAAAUGUCAACUCCAACAGGAUGCAUGCCACUUUCCAGAGAGGGGUGAUAGCACCUCCACUAUUUUGCAUGGUCAUCUGUUGGCACCAGGAAGCUGUUUUUGCACAGGGCCGCACACUCCAUAGGCUGAAUGCAGGCAGCCCCAGCAACUCCAGUAGUGAAAUCCAUUUUCUCCAUUGCAGUAGUCUGGACAGAUGACUGCUUUUCUGAACCAGCUCUCAGCAAAAAAGGGGCAUUUUUCACCUGGGCACUCACUACACCCCCUACAGCUAUGGCAGAGGAGGUAGCAUCCCCAGGUGUUUUUGCUUAUACUCUUUUUAAUGUCUAAAUAAAAAGAAUAGAAAGAAGCCUUUGUUUUAAUGCACAUGAAUAUGUACAUAUACUUUUUUGUUAUCUUAGAAUUUUAUAUUUGGAAUUGAUAAUUGAAUGAGAAUGUUGCAUAGGUCCACCAAUAAAAUAUAAUCUGUUUA